rnacentral:rRNA from 1 species
GGGUUGUGAGGUUAAGCGACUAAGCGUACACGGUGGAUGCCCUGGCAGUCAGAGGCGAUGAAGGACGUGCUAAUCUGCGAUAAGCGUCGGUAAGGUGAUAUGAACCGUUAUAACCGGCGAUUUCCGAAUGGGGAAACCCAGUGUGAUUUGUCACACUAUCAUUAACUGAAUCCAUAGGUUAAUGAGGCGAACCGGGGGAACUGAAACAUCUAAGUACCCCGAGGAAAAGAAAUCAACCGAGAUUCCCCCAGUAGCGGCGAGCGAACGGGGAGGAGCCCAGAGCCUGAAUCAGUGUGUGUGUUAGUGGAAGCGUCUGGAAAGGCGCGCGAUACAGGGUGACAGCCCCGUACACAAAAAUGCACAUGCUGUGAGCUCGAUGAGUAGGGCGGGACACGUGGUAUCCUGUCUGAAUAUGGGGGGACCAUCCUCCAAGGCUAAAUACUCCUGACUGACCGAUAGUGAACCAGUACCGUGAGGGAAAGGCGAAAAGAACCCCGGCGAGGGGAGUGAAAAAGAACCUGAAACCGUGUACGUACAAGCAGUGGGAGCCUCUUUUAUGGGGUGACUGCGUACCUUUUGUAUAAUGGGUCAGCGACUUAUAUUCUGUAGCAAGGUUAACCGAAUAGGGGAGCCGAAGGGAAACCGAGUCUUAACUGGGCGUUAAGUUGCAGGGUAUAGACCCGAAACCCGGUGAUCUAGCCAUGGGCAGGUUGAAGGUUGGGUAACACUAACUGGAGGACCGAACCGACUAAUGUUGAAAAAUUAGCGGAUGACUUGUGGCUGGGGGUGAAAGGCCAAUCAAACCGGGAGAUAGCUGGUUCUCCCCGAAAGCUAUUUAGGUAGCGCCUCGUGAAUUCAUCUCCGGGGGUAGAGCACUGUUUCGGCAAGGGGGUCAUCCCGACUUACCAACCCGAUGCAAACUGCGAAUACCGGAGAAUGUUAUCACGGGAGACACACGGCGGGUGCUAACGUCCGUCGUGAAGAGGGAAACAACCCAGACCGCCAGCUAAGGUCCCAAAGUCAUGGUUAAGUGGGAAACGAUGUGGGAAGGCCCAGACAGCCAGGAUGUUGGCUUAGAAGCAGCCAUCAUUUAAAGAAAGCGUAAUAGCUCACUGGUCGAGUCGGCCUGCGCGGAAGAUGUAACGGGGCUAAACCAUGCACCGAAGCUGCGGCAGCGACACUGUGUGUUGUUGGGUAGGGGAGCGUUCUGUAAGCCUGUGAAGGUGUACUGUGAGGUAUGCUGGAGGUAUCAGAAGUGCGAAUGCUGACAUAAGUAACGAUAAAGCGGGUGAAAAGCCCGCUCGCCGGAAGACCAAGGGUUCCUGUCCAACGUUAAUCGGGGCAGGGUGAGUCGACCCCUAAGGCGAGGCCGAAAGGCGUAGUCGAUGGGAAACAGGUUAAUAUUCCUGUACUUGGUGUUACUGCGAAGGGGGGACGGAGAAGGCUAUGUUGGCCGGGCGACGGUUGUCCCGGUUUAAGCGUGUAGGCUGGUUUUCCAGGCAAAUCCGGAAAAUCAAGGCUGAGGCGUGAUGACGAGGCACUACGGUGCUGAAGCAACAAAUGCCCUGCUUCCAGGAAAAGCCUCUAAGCAUCAGGUAACAUCAAAUCGUACCCCAAACCGACACAGGUGGUCAGGUAGAGAAUACCAAGGCGCUUGAGAGAACUCGGGUGAAGGAACUAGGCAAAAUGGUGCCGUAACUUCGGGAGAAGGCACGCUGAUAUGUAGGUGAAGUCCCUCGCGGAUGGAGCUGAAAUCAGUCGAAGAUACCAGCUGGCUGCAACUGUUUAUUAAAAACACAGCACUGUGCAAACACGAAAGUGGACGUAUACGGUGUGACGCCUGCCCGGUGCCGGAAGGUUAAUUGAUGGGGUCAGCGCAAGCGAAGCUCUUGAUCGAAGCCCCGGUAAACGGCGGCCGUAACUAUAACGGUCCUAAGGUAGCGAAAUUCCUUGUCGGGUAAGUUCCGACCUGCACGAAUGGCGUAAUGAUGGCCAGGCUGUCUCCACCCGAGACUCAGUGAAAUUGAACUCGCUGUGAAGAUGCAGUGUACCCGCGGCAAGACGGAAAGACCCCGUGAACCUUUACUAUAGCUUGACACUGAACAUUGAGCCUUGAUGUGUAGGAUAGGUGGGAGGCUUUGAAGUGUGGACGCCAGUCUGCAUGGAGCCGACCUUGAAAUACCACCCUUUAAUGUUUGAUGUUCUAACGUGGACCCGUGAUCCGGGUUGCGGACAGUGUCUGGUGGGUAGUUUGACUGGGGC